AUUGAACGCUGGCGGCAUGCCUUACACAUGCAAGUCGAACGGUAACAGGUCUUCGGAUGCUGACGAGUGGCGAACGGGUGAGUAAUACAUCGGAACGUGCCUAGUAGUGGGGGAUAACUACUCGCAAGAGUGGCUAAUACCACAUGAGAUCUACGGAUGAAAGCAGGGGAUCGCAAGACCUUGUGCUACUAGAGCGGCCGAUGGCAGAUUAGGUAGGUGGUGGGAUAAAAGCUUACCAAGCCGACGAUCUGUAGCUGGUCUGAGAGGACGAUCAGCCAAACUGGGACUGAGACACGGCCCAGACUCCUACGGGAGGCAGCAGUGGGGAAUUUUGGACGAUGGGCGCAAGCCUUAUCCAGCAAUGCCGCGGGCAGGAUGAAGGCCUGCGGGUUGUAAACUGCUUUUGUACGGAACGAAAAGCCCUGGGUUAAUACCCUGGGGUCAUGACGGUACCGUAAGAAUAAGCACCGGCUAACUACGUGCCAGCAGCCGCAGUAACAC
rnacentral:rRNA from 1 species